GGUUGAUCCUGCCAGUAGUCAUAUGCUUGUCUCAAAGAUUAAGCCAUGCAUGUCUCAGUGUAAACUUUUAAACAGUGAAACUGCGAAUGGCUCAUUAAAACAGUCAUAAUUUAUGUGAAAAUCAUUCUUACAUGGAUAACCGUGGGAAUUCUAGGGCUAAUACAUGCGUAAACCCGCAAGGGAUGUGUUUAUUAGAUUAAAACCAUCACUGUGGCAACACAGUUUCGUUGGAAUGAUAAUAACCGAUCGAAUCGCACGCGCAAGUGGCGAUGAUUCAUUCGAGUUUCUGAC
rnacentral:rRNA from 1 species